rnacentral:rRNA from 1 species
UACGAGGGGUGCAAGCGUUACUCGGAAUUACUGGGCGUAAAGGGUGCGUAGGUGGUUUGUUAAGUCUGCUGUGAAAUCCCCGGGCUCAACCUGGGAAUGGCAGUGGAUACUGGCAAGCUAGAGUGCGGUAGAGGGUAGUGGAAUUCCCGGUGUAGCGGUGAAAUGCGCAGAUAUCAGGAGGAACACCGGUGGCGAAGGCGGGUCUCUGGGCCGUAACUGACGCUGAGGAGCGAAAGCGUGGGGAGCGAACAGG